rnacentral:rRNA from 1 species
CCCCCCGUGAGAAUGCCCUUUAGUCCCCUGCCCGGGGAAAAGGAGCCGGUAUCAGGCACUACCAACUGAAGCCCACGACACCUUGCCCACAGCCACACCCUCAAGGGAAUUCAGCAGUGAUAAAUAUUAAGCAAUAAGUGAAAACUUGACUUAGAUAGGGCUAAUUGAGGGCCGGUAAACCUCGUGCCAGCCACCGCGGUUAUACGAAGGGCCCAAAUUGAUAGCCAUCGGCGUAAAGGGUGGUUAAGAUUAUAUUCAAAUAAAGCCAAAUGCCUUCAAAGCUGUAAUAAGCAUCCGAAGAUAAGAAGCUCAACUACGAAAGUGGCUUUACAAGAUCUGACCCCACGAAAGCUAGGGCACAAACUGGGAUUAGAUACCCCACUAUGCCUAGCCGUAAACAAUGACAAUGUACCACCCCCCAUUGUCCGCCCGGGAACUAAAAGCACGAGCUUGAAACCCAAAGGACUUGGCGGUGCUUAAAAUCCACCUAGAGGAGCCUGUUCUAGAACCGAUAACCCCCGUUCAACCUCACCCUUUCUUGUUAUCCCC